AGAUGAGAGGAUAGUUUCUCGAGCAAUUGAAUUAAACGAACAGCUUCAGAAAGUUCUUGCAAGACAUGAUGACCUUGUUUCUGGAAGAGCUACAAAACCUGCUAAUGAACAUGUUCCAAAAGUUCAACCAAGACGCGAUGACGUUGUAUCUAGCAGAGCCACAACAACUGCUAAUGAACAGUUUCCGAAAGUUCUACCAAGACGAGAUGACAUUGUAACUAGCAGAACCACAACAACUGCUAAUGAACAGUUUCCAAAAGUUCCUCCAAGACGCAAUGAUGUUGUAUCUGGCAGAGCUACAACAACUGUUAUUACUCGCUUUGACCACGAUGAAUCAGAGGAGGAAGAGGAGCCUGAACAGUUAGUACG
rnacentral:lncRNA from 1 species